AUACGGAGGAUCCGAGCGUUAUCCGGAUUUAUUGGGUUUAAAGGGUGCGUAGGCGGGACUGUAAGGCAGGGGUGAAAUACUGCAGCUUAACUGUAGCAUUGCCUUUGAAACUGCCGUUCUUGAGUACAGUUGAGGUAGGCGGAAUGUGGUGUGUAGCGGUGAAAUGCAUAGAUAUACCACAGAACGCCGAUUGCGAAGGCAGCUUACUAAGCUGUUACUGACGCUGAGGCACGAAAGCGUGGGGAUCAAACAGGAUUAGAUACCCUGGUAGUCCACGCUGUAAACGAUGAUUACUGGUUGUUAGCGAUAUAUAGCUAGUGACUGAGCGAAAGCAUUAAGUAAUCCACCUGGGGAGUACGUCGGCAACGAUGAAACUCAAAUGAAUUGACGGGG
rnacentral:rRNA from 1 species